UACGUAGGGUGCAAGCGUUGUCCGGAAUCAUUGGGCGUAAAGAGCUCGUAGGCGGCCUGUUGCGUCCGCUGUGAAAUCCCGGGGCUUAACCCCGGGCGUGCAGUGGAUACGGGCUGGCUGGAGGCAGGCAGGGGAGAACGGAAUUCCCGGUGUAGCGGUGAAAUGCGCAGAUAUCGGGAGGAACACCGGUGGCGAAGGCGGUUCUCUGGGCCUGUACUGACGCUGAGGAGCGAAAGCGUGGGGAGCGAACAGG
rnacentral:rRNA from 1 species